CAAAGGCUUGGUCCUAGCUUUUCUAUCAUCUCUAGCCCAGAUUACACAUGCAAGUCUCCGCUCCCCCGUGAGAAUGCCCUGCAGUUCCCCUACCCGGGAACAAGGAGCUGGUAUCAGGCACAGCCUAAUAAAGCUACCGCCCACGACACCUUGCUUAGCCACACCCCCAAGGGAUUUCAGCAGUGAUUAACCUUAAGCCAUAAGUGAAAACUUGACUUAGCCACGGCUAACAGGGCCGGUAAAUCUCGUGCCAGCCACCGCGGUUAUACGAAAGACCCAAGCUGAUAGAUGCCGGCGUAAAGAGUGGUUAAGUAUUUUGAUAGAACUAAAGCCGAACGCCCUCAAGACCGUUAUACGUUUCCGAAGGUAUGAAGCCCAACUACGAAAGUAACUUUAACUAUAUCUGAUUCCACGAAAGCUGCGAAACAAACUGGGAUUAGAUACCCCACUAUGCCCAGCCCUAAACUUUGAUAAUUUAUUACACCCAUUAUCCGCCAGGGAACUACGAGCUCUUAGCUUAAAACCCAAAGGACUUGGCGGUGCUUAAGAUCCACCUAGAGGAGCCUGUUCUAGAACCGAUACCCCCCGUUCAACCUCACCCUCUCUUGUUUAUCCCGCCUAUAUACCGCCGUCGUCAGCCCACCCUGUGAGGGUCCAAUAGUGAGCAGGAUCGGUAGAACCCAAAACGCCAGGUCGAGGUGUAGCGUAUGAGAGGGGAAGAAAUGGGCUACAUUUCCUAACGCAGGAAAUACGAAUAAUGCACUGAAAUAAGCAUAUUGAAGGAGGAUUUAGCAGUAAAUGAAAAGCAGAGCGUUUCAUUGAAGUCGGCUCUAAAGCGCGCACACACCGCCCGUCACUCUCCCCAAAACAUAAUCUUUUUAUUCAUAAUCCCCUUAAAUCAAAUUCGGGGAGAAAAGUCGUAACAUGGUAAGUGUACCGGAAGGUGCACUUGGAAAAAC
rnacentral:ncRNA from 1 species